UUCAUGUUGGCAGUAACUGUUAAUAUGUUGAUGCAGAUCUUUUUUAAGUCUGCCAUGAGUUAACUUUGUCUUGGUACAAUUUUGGUGCUUCAGAUUUGUAACUUGUUACUUGUUAUCACAAUCUACUUGGUUUUGUUUGUUUUGAGUUAAGGUCAAGAACAUGGGUGGCGUAUCAAUGGUCUAAUCUUGUGUGAAUCGGGUCCUCAACUGUAUGUUGCUGCUGCUGCUCUACGGGCGUCGUGCACAUGGAGGCGCUGGCCGGUCGGUCGUGGCACCGGUGUCCAGCGCCUGCCCAUGGUGCCUCUCAGUAGACAAUUAAUUUGUUUUAUACAGGAAAUCGAAUUAAUAAGCAGCAAGAUUUUUAUUUCUGAAGAAACUUCGCUAGCGCACUUGUCCAUAUAGUAUAGUGUUUUUGUGUGUUGCAAGCCUGCAACUGCUAAUAUUGGUUGUUUCUCUGUUGUUGUCUUGUUUAUUCUGAAGUUGUGAACAUAAACUCAACCAGUUCUAUUUUGUCAGUUCUAUUAAUUGCAUUUCAGUCCAUCUGAAGUCUUUGACUAACUUUACCUGUCUUUUCCAGGAUGAUUUUUUUUGCCAAGAACUUAACACCACUUGAUUAUAUUUACUAGCACAAGUGCAUGGCAGAAGUUCCAGUUUCGCCUCUCUUAAUUUCUACUCUUCUCUCUUAUUAGUUAUUACUGUUGCUGGCAUACAAUGUAAGCCUCCCUCCCUGUGUCCAGGACUCCAGGUACAUUCAGGUGGCAAGGUAGAGUUGAAGAGGAGAGGAAGCUUGCACUAGACAGACAUGUAAAGAGCUUACAUCUGAAGAGGAGAGGAAGCUUGCACUGGCAAGGGUUUCUUGCAGGUAAGAGCCCGAAGGGAGUGAAUAUUAAUGAUCCUGGAACAAGCAGUUUGCAGUGUCAACCCAGCAGCUAAUGGAGGCACUACUGGUUCACCAUUCUCCUUGGUCGAGGGGCGGUGCACACGGCUGCGGAAUCCUGCAGGUGGUGGCAGUUGGGGACUGCGCGAGGGAGGCGAAGAGAGCAGAUGCGGAUGGAGCGUGGGGAUGAAUGUGGUUGUGUAGCAAUAGUUUGGCCUAGAACAAUGUAAUGGCUUUGUAUGUCUGAAAUUUAUCCGUAGCGUUAACACGAGCACACUUACAUAUAAAUAUUACAUGUGUUGUUUUUUUU